rnacentral:misc_RNA from 1 species
UUUGCAUUUGACAAGGGCUGCUUCUCUUUUCCUCCAUUUAUAUAUUUACUUUUGUAAUAUUUUUUCUUUUCUCUAUAUCACAGACCAACCAAGAAGAGAAACACCCAGAAACCCAAUUUUGAGAUCUGAUUGGUGAGUUUUAACUGAGGUCAUGGACCUCCAGAAAAGUGGAGUUCUUGCUGGACUUCUGGUGCUGCUUUUACCUCUUCUUUUGCCUGGUUUGUUUAGCCUAUUGAGCCAUGCCUCCCCUUCUGCAUUCUCGGAAUGGAAUGUUCAAAAACCUAGGCACUUAUCUCUAGUGAAGAGUGCUUCGCAGCGUGAGACUUCACAUGAAAAGCAGUCUGAUCUCUGGGUCCCUUUGGCCGAUCAAGGAUGGAGGCCAUGUGUUGA